CACCGGCGGCUCGAGUGGUGGCCACUUUUAUUGGGUCUAAAGCGUCCGUAGCCGGCUUGGCAAGUCCCCUGGGAAAUCUGGCGGCUUAACCGGCAGGCGUCCAGAGGAUACUGCCAGGCUUGGGACCGGGAGAGGUGAGAGGUACCUCAGGGGUAGGGGUGAAAUCUUGUGAUCCCUGAGGGACCACCAGUGGCGAAGGCGUCUCACUAGAACGGGUCCGACGGUCAGGGACGAAAGCUGGGGGCACGAACCGG
rnacentral:rRNA from 1 species